AUUAUUAUUAUUAUUAAUUUGUAUUAUACUAGGAGUGCUAAAAGACCAAAGUUAGAAGAAGAGGUGGAGUAUUGAGAGAGUGUGUGAGUUAUUUUAUUAUUAUAUUUUUUAGAAGGAAGAGGAAUCAGAAGAAGAAAUGUUAGAGGAAGAGAGCAAAGACCAAACCAAAGUUUACAUCUCUCUCUUUCUCUUUGGUAAUGAGUUGAAGUUACAGGCUAAGUUGUUAUCAAAGGAGAAUUGGUCAGGGGUUGGGUCUCAGUAUUGUUGGUGGGCGUGGCUCUCCCACUGGGGACGUACCCAUUUACGUAAAGAGGAUCCUACCUGAGUCAGUGUUACAGAAAGACUCAAAGAUAAAGACUGGAGAUGAACUGGUAGCAGUUAAUGAUUUAAUAAUACAUAAUGUAACUAAGGACUAUGCUACUGAAGCUCUUACUAAUGUACAGGGAACAGUGAGACUACUACUGAUACAGGACCUAUGAA
rnacentral:lncRNA from 1 species